rnacentral:rRNA from 1 species
CAGUCGCCGCGGGAAUACGAAGGGUGCAAGCGUUACUCGGAAUUACUGGGCGUAAAGCGUGCGUAGGUGGUGGUUUAAGUCCGUUGUGAAAGCCCUGGGCUCAACCUGGGAAUUGCAGUGGAUACUGGGUCACUAGAGUGUGGUAGAGGAUAGUGGAAUUUCCGGUGUAGCAGUGAAAUGCGUAGAGAUCGGAAGGAACAUCUGUGGCGAAGGCGACUAUCUGGGCCAACACUGACACUGAGGCACGAAAGCGUGGGGAGCAAACAGGAUUAGAUACCCGCGUAGUCCCUGUCUCUUAUAU